GGGCGAGUGGCGAAAUGGCAGACGCGCUAGCUUCAGGUGCUAGUUCUCGCAAGGGAGUGCGGGUUCAAGUCCCGCCUCGCCCA
rnacentral:tRNA from 1 species